UAAAUAGAGGCGCAAUAUCAAUCAGUACCGUCCGUGCAUGAGGCAUUCGCUAAGCCGCUGCGGACAGGGAAAGGUGCUGUUGCCGAAGGUUCCGUUUAGCGGACGGUUCCUGGGCAAACGAAUAAUAUUCGUUUGACUGUCGCGAAAGCGGAGAGCUAUG
rnacentral:ncRNA from 1 species